GGGGAGGGAGGGAGAUGGGGAGGAGGGAGAGACACAGGGAAAGGGGGGAGGAAGAGACACAGGGAAAAGGGGUAAAAGAGGAAGAGGGGGAAGAGAUAGACAAAGAGGGAGAAAUGAGAGAGAGACACACAAGGGGAGGGGAAGAAAGAGGCAGAGGGGGAAGAGAGAGACUGGGAAGGAGAGGGGAGACAUUGACACAGAGGAGCAGUGAGGGGGAGAAAGAAACAUACAGAGUGACUGGGGGAGACAAAAAGGCACACAGAGGGGCUGGAGAUAAAGAGACACACAUGGGGGCAGUAUAUAUCACUGGUGGAUGGGGGGGGGCAACGGGCUCCCCCCCUAAGGCUUUCCCCUGCAGCCGAUCUCCCUCCCCGUUCCACAGGCACCGUGCAGCCAGUCGGCAGGGGAGGAAGAGAGGACCUGGGGCAACGCUCCGGCUCUCACGAGGGUGAACUCUAGCCCUGGAGCUACGGGCUAGAGUUCAAUCUCACCACUUCCUGGUGGUCCCAGUAGUAGGAGUGAACUCUAGCCCCAUACACACACUGCCCCACACACACAUACACAUUCA